GAGUUUGAUCAUGGCUCAGGAUGAACGCUAGCGGUGUGCCUAAUGCAUGCAAGUCGAACGGGAUCCUUUGGAUUCGUCUGAAGGUGAGAGUGGCGAACGGGUGAGUAACACGUAGGUGACCUGCCCCGGAGAGGGGGACAACCGGUGGAAACGCCGGCUAAUACCCCAGAUGUCUUUGCGCUUAGAAAGCAAUGACUAAAGUUCCGGCGCUCCGGGAGGGGCCUGCGGCCCAUCAGCUUGUUGGGGAAGGAAUGGCUUACCAAGGCAAAGACGGGUAUGGGGCGUGAGAGCGAGUCCCCCCGCACUGGUACUGACACACGGACCAGAUACGUGCGAGAAUCAGCUUCAUAGGACUAUUGCCCGUUGGACAAGAGUCUGAGGCCCCUACACCGCUAGUUGGAUGAAGGGCUUCGGUGUGGUAACUCCUUUUCUGGGGGGUGACAAUCGACGUGACCCCAGGAAUAAGUCUCGGGUAACUACGUGCCCGCAGUCCUGUGUCAGCGCCUGAAUUCAGGCUCACUAAAUUUUAUUCGCCCUUCUUUUGAGUCCGGAGUUCAUUGCGCGGGGCCCAGGGUUGUUCCUUGUCUAGGUCCUGGGUAGUGCCAUGUUCCUCCCUCGAACCUAAUCGCCCUUAUGCUCAGAUCAGCCUCUUUCGCCGGUAUGCGCCUUUUGGCAAUAGAGGACACAGUUCGUUGAGCGGUUGCCUUAACGUUGAGACUUUGCAAAACAUGACGGGCGCUUUUGGUUUAGCCCUUCGAAGUGCUAGACCGUUUGUGCUUUUCGCUCCGGUAUGGAAUAAGUGGAAUGUCACUUUAUAGGCUUAGACUUCCCUAUUAGAUACAUCCUGUCUCUGACCAUUUGCAUUGACAAAGAUGCUCCCUGUAG
rnacentral:rRNA from 1 species